rnacentral:sRNA from 1 species
AGCGAAGCGAGGCGGCGGGGGAUGAGAAGCACCGGUGGGGUUCGACCGCCGGCGCAGCCGGUAGGACGGCGUAGCCGCCCGAAGGGUGAGGCGCGUAGCGCCGAAUCAAUCCCCCCUCUCCGCCA